UAGGGAAUCUUUGGCAAUGGACGAAAGUCUGACCGAGCAACGCCGCGCGAGUGAAGAAGGUUUUCGGAUCGUAAAACUCUGUUGUUAGAGAAGAACAAGGACGUUAGUAACUGAACGUCCCCUGACGGUAUCUAACCAGAAAGCCACGGCUAACUACGUGCCAGCAGCCGCGGUAAUAGGUAGGUGGCAAGCGUUGUCCGGAUUUAUCGGGCGGAAAGCGAGCGCAGGCGGUUUCUUAAGUCUGAUGUGAAAGCCCCCGGCCCAACCGUGGAGGGUCAUUGGAAACUGGGAGACUUGAGUGCAGAAGAGGAGAGUGGUAUUCCAUGUGUAGCAGUGACAUGCGUAGAUAUAUGGAGGAACACCAGUUGCGAAGGCUGCUCUCUGGUCUGUAGCUGACGCUGAGGCUCGAGAGCGUGGGGAGCAAACAGG
rnacentral:rRNA from 1 species